rnacentral:rRNA from 1 species
GAUGAACGCUGACAGCAUGCUUAACACAUGCAAGUCUUUGGCGAAGCUGUGCUUGCACAGCCUAGCCAAGGCGGACGGGUGAGUAACGCGUAAGGAACUUGCCCUGCAGUCAGGGAUAACAGACGGAAACGACUGAUAAGACCUGGUAAAGUCAGGCGGACUCAUGUCCAGCCUGAUGAAAAGAGAUGCUGCAGGAGAGCCUUGCGUCCUAUUAGCUUGUUGGUGGGGUAACGGCCCACCAAGGCGAUGAUAGGUAGCCGGCCUGAGAGGGUGGACGGCCACAAGGGGACUGAGAUACGGGCCUUACUCCUACGGGAGGCAGCAGUGGGGAAUAUUGGACAAUGGGGGCAACCCUGAUCCAGCAAUUCGGUGUGCACGAUGAAGGUUUUCGGAUUGUAAAGUGCUUUCAGCAGGGAAGAAAAAAUGACGGUACCUGCAGAAGAAGCGACGGCUAAAUACGUG